GAUUCAUCAACGUCCCAAAUAAACUCACUAUCCGAUUCAGAUGUGCCACCUCUAUUUAAAGAGUUCUCGUCAUCGUAAUUUGUUGAGUCUGAAUCUGCCACGCUGUUACUACUAUCUAAAACACCAAAUGACUCAAACAGCUUUUGGCGCCCGUGGGUUUCGCGGUUGGCAGUUGCCUGUGCCGCACUUUCAUCGGCUUUGAUUGUGAAAAAGCACACCAACUCAUCAUUACCACAAAAUAUAGCUGCACAAGUUUUAGGAAGAGGAAUAUUUUGAUGCUUAUGAGAGAGGCCGCGAUCUCCACCUCGAAAAUCGGGCAUAGAAGGAAAAACAUCUUGGAAAAUAUCGGCAGAGGACUCAGAAGAUGAAUCAGAAUUAUCUUUUUGAAAGCCUAGCUUCCAUAUUUCAUCGACACUUAGAU